CACAGGUAGACUUCGGUCGAGCUUCUUCGUAGUCGGGUCCCGCGCCAACCGAUCUUCGACCGAGCUUCUACAAUGGGACAUGACUCAUCGGUCAGGUCGCUACUCCGAGCUCCCACGACAACUGAUCUUUGACCGAGCUUCUACAAUGGGACAGGACUCAUCGGCCAGGUCGCUACUCCGAGCUCCCACGGCAACUGACCUUCGACCGAACUCCCAUAGCGAUUGGAUAUUGGAUGAGCUUUUACGACGAUCGGGCUCCAGCAACUGGGUUCCUAUAACGACCGAUCGCCUCCGGUGCCUGUCGAACCUCCCC
rnacentral:lncRNA from 1 species